GACAAACGCUGGCGGCGUGCCUAACACAUGCAAGUCGAGCGAGAAGGGAGCUUCGGCUCCCGGAAAGCGGCGAACGGGUGAGUAACACGUGGGCAACCUGCCUCAAGGAUUGGGAUAACGUCGGGAAACCGGUGCUAAUACCGAACGAUGUCGUCCGGCGCAAGCCGGCCGACCAAAGGGUAGCUUCGGCCUCUGCCUUGAGGUGGGCCCGCGUCCUAUCAGCUUGUUGGUGAGGUAACGGCUCACCAAGGCUACGACGGGUAGCGGGCCUGAGAGGGUGACCGGCCACACUGGGACUGAGACACGGCCCAGACUCCUACGGGAGGCAGCAGUGGGGAAUAUUGCACAAUGGGCGCAAGCCUGAUGCAGCAACGCCGCGUGCGGGAUGACGGCCUUCGGGUUGUAAACCGCUUUUAGUAGGGAAGAAGCCUUCGGGUGACGGUACCUGCAGAAAAAGGACCGGCUAACUACGUGCCAGCCGCCGCCGUAACAC
rnacentral:rRNA from 1 species